rnacentral:lncRNA from 1 species
CGCAUUUAUGCGAUCCUCGGCUUACACGCCUGUUAUAUUUUGACGGAUAAAUACGACAUGCGGUACUCGAUAAGAGUUAAAAUGAACGCAUAAAUGCGAUCUGCGUCCUUAAUGAGUUAACGCAAUACGUAUAAUUUCCAUCAUGUAUUUCCUUAGUUCAGAGUAAUUUUAUCAUACGGCUGAGCUAUUCAACUACAUUUUCCUUCAAGGGUAAGGUUUCCAUAAAAUGUAGCGUAAAUAUUACAACUAUGCCUGGUUCCACUGUAGCUGUUAUCAGGCUAAAAGAAAAUUGAACACCUUAAGUCUCGCUGCUUUUUGCUUUGACGUACUCUACAAAUAAUUCAAUCAGCUUGGUCAUGAAACGAGAAAUAUUUAAUUCAUGUCUGUAACUUAAAUUUUCCUGAAAAAUACUGUCAGUGCUUCCGUAGGAUCUUCUUAAGAAAAUUAAGCAUUUUGCGCAAAGUAUGGAAUUAAAUCAUCUUCGUCUUAUUGCUUUUUCCUCUAGUUAGUAAUUUAGUUAAUGUGGAUAUUUGUCGUCAGGCGUCCGUCGUCCUGCGUCCUACAUCAUCACUUUUACUUAGAAUCCUCCUCCUUUAAAAUAAUUGGUGGGUAAACUGUCAAUGCUGUCUAAAGCCCGAGUCUGUACUCGGUAGGCGACGAAACCGGUAUGAGGAAUUAGUUUGACCGUCAUCGCGAUGAUCGUCUACAAGAUAUAACAUGACAAAACCAUGUUCCUAGGAAGAACAAUGUUUUUUGUUUUCAAUUGAGAUGUUCGCUACUACCUAUGAACAGCUUUGUUGCCCAAUUAGUUUGCCCGUCAUCGCGAUGAUUGUCCACAAUAUAUAAAAUGACAAAACCACGUUCCUAGGAAGAACAAUGUUUCUCAAUUGAGAUAUUUGCUACUGCGACCAUGUUUCGAGGCCUUGUCAUCUAGAGUUUCUAUACAAAUACAUUUUGAUUCUUAGAUGACAGUGCUCUAAAAACAUGCCUAUGACAACUCUGGACAAACGCAGAGUCGAAGAAAUUUGUUACUGCUCAUUUGUGAUUUGUAACUCUCUUGUGUCAUAUGUUGCACUUAAUGUUUUCACACUGAUAUUACAAUCUCGAAGGAAUACGUCGGCACUUACUUCUAGCUGAUAUCUCCCUAGCUUACUAUUUUAUUGGAAUACGAAAUUUCACUUCAUGCUGGUAAUUUGAACACGAUAUUUUUACAUACCGAAGGGCAUAGAUGCUAACAUAAGGUCAACCAUUUUGUAAUAGAGUCCAUUUAGUUGUAAAGCAAAAGCAAUGAUCAUUCAUCACGAUACACUGCCCCUAUUUUCGCAUACAUUUCUCUUAUGCACACAUGGGUUGACCCAUUCCUGAACUCUUUGUGACGUUCAAGCUUCAUAUCAUGUAUUUUUGAUGCUCGUAAUACGCAAAGCUUUUCAUUCCAGAAAUCAUGCUAACUCAAAAGCGUGAGUUUCUUUCCAUAACGUUAGAUCAUUAUGGAACACAGGAUAUUCAACGUUGAGUGCGAAAACAAACAACAAUAGUCAUGCCUUUCAUAGCUCAUCACUAUGAAACAUGCAGUAGCAGCCAGGCCACUGUAGCAUCUAUCCGAGAAGAAAAUGUGGCACCGUGCACAACUUUGUCCAGUUUCGUCGUCACAUUUUUCUUCUUACACGAGUAGAAGUCAACUCCGUUUACAUUGAAUCUUAUCUUCAAUUCUUUGAUUCCCUCAUCUUCUGAACAAGACAGAGAUGAUCCUUCAAUGCAUGUACAACAUAAUCGAUAGGCGUGGCACGAUCAUCACUUGUGAUAAGAAUGAAGUGUCAGACAGGUCAGUAUUCUCAUUGAUGAAUUUUGCCAUCAAUUGAUUAUUGGUCUUCUCUGAAAGUAAAUCGUCAUAGGGUACAACACUAAAUUAAUCACUAUUAUUAAGUUGAUCAGAUGUGUCCAUCGUUGUGUUCUGAGAUCAAAUGAACAAUAUUAUUAUGCUAGAAGUAAUAUAGUUAACGUACAAGUUCAUAUAAUGCAAACAAAUCCACUAUAAGAUCAAUAGACAACAGUUGCUUCUAUUUGAACAUAGGCGAGUGAGUCUAUUUGUAAAAAACGGGGCUAUAUACAUAUACCCCCUGUCAUUUAGUCUUUCCCGUCCCCUUUGCCUGUUUUUUGAUACUAUAUACAAUAAUCGUGUCUCGAAAAAUGGAAAAAGAGGACGCAAAGACAAGAUCUGUCUUUGUAACAAAAAUGUAAUAGCAGAACUGCUUCUUUUAUGAUCUACAAACACAUCCUAUAGCUACAUUGAUGUUCAACAUUGUGCUCAAUUUAGACGCAAAACGAUGGACUUCCAUAGAAAACGGCUAUCAAUUGCAUUCAACUUUCCGCAUUGGGUAAUAAACAAACACAUAAGGAACGCUUGUUUCUGGUAACACUAUUCAGAAAACAUAAAUAAGAAGUUCUAAGACUUUGAUACACAUUGACAGCGGUGUCCGUUUCGACACACAACAUUGAAUAUUACCAACAACGAAUUAUCCUUCGUCACAAUGACCAUUACGAUUCAACAUUUAAUUCAACCUAAGAAAUGUUGGAUCUGUCUUUGUAACACGAAAUGUAAUACAAGAACUGCCUCUAUUCUGAUUCACAAACAAAUCAUAGAGGUGCACAUAUUGUCAACAUUGCGCACAAUUUUAACGCGAAACAACCUUUUUCAGUAUCAGUACAAGUUCAAAGCUUUAUCAGUUACAUGAGAUAUCUUUGGCUAGAUAUUUACAAGCAGUAAACAAACACUUGACUGCCGAUAAAACAGAAUACUCUCAUAAACAUGCACUUUCGCAGCCAAAAACCGUUGCAUUCUGAUCUAAAGCAUUGUGCCCAUAUGUGAUGCAAAACAAUAUAUUUCAAUAAAUGGACACGUUCAAAAUUCUGUAAAAUUACACAGUGCUUCAUUGAUGUAGUGUGCGCAAGACAUAAAACACCAUAAUGAAAGUAUUUAGAGUAGUCUGCGAAACAACUAUGACGUUUAAAAUCAAUUCACCGCGUCAAACGUACAGAGAGUGCAGUCACAACAGUACAUUGAACAAAAUAAAAGUAAAACGUUCUUUUUUUAGCAUUAUCGAAUUGUUUGCAGGAUUUGGAAUUAUCAAAAUGAAAAGAUGGAGAGAACCGAAAACUCUUUAUGACAAAAUACAUCACAGAACUACCAAGGAUGGAGCCGGAUGGCAAUUACAGGAGCUGAAAUCUGCAUGCAAAAUGGAGAGAACCGAAAACUCUUUAUGACAAAAUACAUCACAGAACUACCAAGGAUGGAGCCGGAUGGCAAUUACAGGAGCUGAAAUCUGCAUGCAAAGUUAGGUCGUUUUUGUGUUCACGUUGUAGCGAAAUUAAAAUGGCGGCCAGCCAAAGCUAGAUGAAUUGAUUGAUGAACUUUGCCAUCAAUUGAUUACUGGCCUUCUAUGAAAGCAAAUCGUCAUAGGAUAAAAUAGUAAAUUGAUCACUGCAUUUGAUGUUACCCAGUUGAUCAGAUGUGUUCGUCUUUGUGUUCUGAGAUCAAACGAUCAGUAUAUGCUUGAAGUAAAAAAGCUUAAGUACUGUACAAGUUCAUAUUAUACGAACAAAUCCACUAUAAGAUUAAUAUACAACAGUUGCUCCUGUUUGAACGUAGGCGUGUGAGUGUAUCUGUAAAAACGGGGCUCUAUACACAUACCCCUCUCCUUCAGUAUUUCCCGUCCCGUUUUUCCGUUUAUCGAUAGUUGACUAUCUAUGAACACAGCCUUGCAAAAAGGGAUCAUGUGGGCAAAAUGUUCGAUUUUUAGAUUUUUCAUUCAUCGAAAUUAUAACUCUUUACCCUUCCUUUUGGUUCCAAAAUUCAGCCAAAAAAGUGCUUUAAACAGCUGCAUAUAUUAUGUUAGAGCGCAAAAAUAAACAAAUCAGAAUUGUAUCAUGAUGAAUGGACGUACAUCGACUUAUGUUUUGAUGGACGCGUCAUCAAGUUGUUGUAUCGAAAUAUGAUAGAAAAAUUAAAUAUUAUGCUUUGCCGAUGUUUGGUUCUAUUCAAAACAAUGAAAACAGUUAUUACAUAAAUAUAGAAUUAUGUGCGUAGCAUUGUUUAGUCUUGCACUGACUGCUAUGUUGAACACACGUGAAAUAUGUGGUACAAGAUGCCUGUCUUUCGUAACUCAAGAAGCGAUACUCUGAAAACAACAACCCGAUCUUCACUUGAACGUCAUGUUGCAUAUACAUACACAGAAGACCAUGACCUGAAUCUUUUGAAAGCCGGAUUUAAUAUGGUACUUGUUUCAUUAGAGAGCAGGUGUUGUAAGGCCACUGUUAUGGAGUGCAAACAAUCUUAGAAAACGACACAGCUGGUAUAGUGUAGAUAACAAAGUCAUAUUGCUGAUGUUUCGCCUCGACUAUUAGAUCCUUUCUCAUGUUCAUGGUUGGAGAUAAAAGCGAUUACUUCAAGUACACAGUAAUCAUAAAAUCACCUACACAAUACUUCAGUGUGGAUAUUCACAAUGUAUUCGACUCUAUGUUUUCAAGGUUAAGGAUAUAUACACUUUUUGAACGAACUGUUACAAACUAAGUGGAUUAUCAUCAAUUAACAAGUCCUUGCAUCCUGAUAAAUCAUCUGAUAACAACAAGCACUACAAAGGACUUCCUGGAGGACUAUUUCAGCCCAGUCUAGGUUCUAAUUUGUCUGAGCAGUCACUCAAUAAAGAAUUAAACCAAUAUCAUGUUGUGUGCAUGUGUUUGUUUGACAAAUCUAGGACCGACACGCUUUGUCACUAAUUCAUUACAUAUUGGGCACUUUCAAUAUGUGUCCACAUCUUACUUUUGGAGUACAAGACGUCCAACACUACAUUUGAUGUGAUACACAACUAUGUAAAACCACGGAUACAGCUUGGGUAUGCCCUAAGAGAAGUUGUUCGAGAUCAAUUUGUCUAAAGGGAUACGUUGGUCAUAUAUUCAUUAAAGAGAUAUGAUACUGAGCUGUCACGAUUUCAUACGGUUAUGCACUAACCGGCUUAUAUCUCUAAACUGGCAUAUAUCUCUAAAGGACAAGUCAAGCUAGCAAAUCAUCCUCUCUAAUCGCGAAAAGAACAAGCAGGCAUAAAAUGUCUCAAAUGAACAAGAUCAGACGUUCGUCCAAAUCACAUGUAGUGUCUCAUCUAUCUCAGGCAAGCAAGCACAUCAUCUUCUCUAAUUGUAAACAAAACAAACAGGCAUGAAGUGUCUCAACUGAACAAGAUUAAACGUUUGUUCAAAUCACA